GACGAACGCUGGCGGCGUGCUUAACACAUGCAAGUCGAACGGAAAGGCCCUGCUUUUGUGGGGUGCUCGAGUGGCGAACGGGUGAGUAACACGUGAGUAACCUGCCCUUGACUAUGGGAUAACUUCAGGAAACUGGGGCUAAUACCGGAUAGGAGCUCCUGCUGCAUGGUGGGGGUUGGAAAGUUUCGGCGGUUGGGGAUGGACUCGCGGCUUAUCAGCUUGUUGGUGGGGUAGUGGCUUACCAAGGCUUUGAUGGGUAGCCGGCCUGAGAGGGUGACCGGCCACAUUGGGACUGAGAUACGGCCCAGACUCCUACGGGAGGCAGCAGUGGGGAAUAUUGCACAAUGGGCGGAAGCCUGAUGCAGCAACGCCGCGUGCGGGAUGACGGCCUUCGGGUUGUAAACCGCUUUCGCCUGUGACGAAGCGUGAGUGACGGUAAUGGGUAAAGAAGCACCGGCUAACUACGUG
rnacentral:rRNA from 1 species